AGAUUAAGUUAUUAAGGGCGCACGGUGGAUGCCUUGGCACUAGAAGCCGAUGAAGGACGUUACUAACGACGAUAUGCUUUGGGGAGCUGUAAGUAAGCUUUGAUCCAGAGAUUUCCGAAUGGGGAAACCCAGCAUGAGUUAUGUCAUGUUAUCGAUAUGUGAAUACAUAGCAUAUCAGAAGGCACACCCGGAGAACUGAAACAUCUUAGUACCCGGAGGAAGAGAAAGAAAAUUCGAUUCCCUUAGUAGCGGCGAGCGAAACGGGAAGAGCCCAAACCAACAAGCUUGCUUGUUGGGGUUGUAGGACACUCUAUACGGAGUUACAAAGGACGACAUUAGACGAAUCAUCUGGAAAGAUGAAUCAAAGAAGGUAAUAAUCCUGUAGUCGAAAAUGUUGUCUCUCUUGAGUGGAUCCUGAGUACGACGGAACACGUGAAAUUCCGUCGGAAUCUGGGAGGACCAUCUCCUAAGGCUAAAUACUCUCUAGUGACCGAUAGUGAACCAGUACCGUGAGGGAAAGGUGAAAAGCACCCCGGAAGGGGAGUGAAAUAGAACC
rnacentral:rRNA from 1 species